rnacentral:misc_RNA from 1 species
UUUCCGUAGGUGAACCUGCGGAAGGAUCAUUCAUAAUAAGUGUUUUACUGCACUUUUUAAAAAUAGUACUCACCUUGUGUGCAAUGUUGUGCUUCUUUUCGGAGAAACACCUACACCAACCUAUAACCUUGAGCCACUUUGCCUGAAAAACUAUUAUGAAUACUUAAUUCAAAAUACAACUUUCAACAACGGAUCUCUUGGCUCUC